rnacentral:rRNA from 1 species
GACGAACGCUGGCGGCGUGCUUAACACAUGCAAGUCGAGCGACGCUCUUCCUUCGGGGAGAUGACGGAGCGGCGAACGGGUGAGUAACACGUGGGCAACCUGCCCCUAGCUCUGGGACAACACCGGGAAACCGGUGCUAAUACCGGAUACGACAUCGAGCGGCAUCUCUCGAUGUGGAAAGUUUUUUCGGCUAGGGAUGGGCCCGCGGCCUAUCAGCUUGUUGGUGGGGUAAUGGCCCACCAAGGCGACGACGGGUAGCCGGCCUGAGAGGGCGACCGGCCACACUGGGACUGAGACACGGCCCAGACUCCUACGGGAGGCAGCAGUGGGGAAUAUUGCGCAAUGGGCGAAAGCCUGACGCAGCGACGCCGCGUGAGGGAUGACGGCCUUCGGGUUGUGAACCUCUUUCAGCAGGGACGAAUUCAGACGGUACCUGCAGAAGAAGCACCGGCCAACUACGUG